AUCCUCACCAUCUUACUGGGCAGCAUUGGAUGAUUUCUGCGUUUCUAAUACUGCCUGGUAAUGAUGAUGAUGGU
rnacentral:pre_miRNA from 1 species